GAACCCGCGGGCUGGCGAUGAAUGGCCAGGGCCAGCCGCUCGCAGGGAUCACGGGCUGCGGUGCGUGUGCUGCUGCUGCUGCUGCCCCCGGCGGCUCCGCGCCGCGCCGCUGGAGCCCCGGCUCCUCGGGAAUGCUGGGAAUGUUGAGUCAGGGACUCGCAGCCCAGACAGCCGGGCUCGCAGCUGACUGAGGGAGACUCGCUGAGGGACGGAACGACGAGGGACAGGGGCACACGAGCCUCCCCCGGCCGCAGCAGGUUCCUCCUCGGCAGCCCCUGGCAGGCAUUGCGCGGCUCCGGCUCGCCCUGCCGCCUCCCUCCGCCGCGCAAAUGGGAUGCCAGCUAAACGUGAUGUUGUAAAAUCCAUGUGAGGACGGAAGGCAGAUGCAAUGAUUUGAAAGGUCUGUCUUGGGAGGAAAACCAGAUUUUGCCUACUGGAAGAAUGCAGUGAAACUGCCAGUAUUUCUAGCCGGAAUUCUUAAUUGAACAUUCAACUUUAGUGUUACUAGUUUCUUACUAAACAGUACCUCAAAGCAGAAGAAAAAUGUAUGGGAGUGCAAGAACAAUCGGCAACUUGGAGGGAAGCCCCUCCAGGUCCCCCCGGCUGCCCAGGUCCCCCCGGCUGGGCCACAGGAGAACCAGCAGCGGGGGAGGGGGGGCAGGGAAGACGCUGUCCAUGGAGAACAUCCAGUCCCUUAACGCAGCCUAUGCAACAUCCGGACCAAUGUACCUGAGUGACCACGAGGGUGUGGCUUCUACUACUUUCCCAAAGGGCACAAUGACUCUUGGAAGGGCUACAAACCGAGCUGUGUAUGGUGGCCGAGUCACAGCCAUGGGGAGCAGCCCCAAUAUCGCUUCUGCCGGGCUGUCACACACCGAUGUCCUUUCUUACGCCGACCAGCACGGAGGGCUGACCGCAUCCUCACACCACCACCACCACCAGGUUCCUUCCAUGCUGAGACAGGUUAGGGAUAGCACCAUGUUAGAUCUGCAGGCUCAGCUGAAGGAUCUACAGAGGGAGAAUGACCUUCUCAGAAAAGAACUCGACAUUAAGGACAGCAAGCUGGGGUCCUCUAUGAACAGCAUCAAAACUUUCUGGAGUCCUGAGCUAAAGAAAGAGAGAGUAUUGAGGAAAGAAGAAGCAGCCAGAAUGUCAGUUCUUAAAGAACAGAUGAGAGUUUCCCAUGAAGAAAAUCAGUUUUUGGAUGCCAGAAGAACAAAGCAUCUGCAAAUGACAAUCCAGGCACUUCAAGAUGAGCUUAGAACGCAGAGAGACCUUAACCAUCUUCUCCAGCAAGAAAGUGGGAACCGAGGGGCUGAGCAUUUUACCAUUGAGCUCACGGAGGAGAAUUUUCGAAGACUUCAGGCAGAGCAUGAUAGACAAGCUAAAGAGCUCUUCCUGUUGAGAAAAACUCUAGAAGAAAUGGAGCUUAGGAUUGAAACACAAAAGCAAACACUAAAUGCCAGAGAUGAAUCAAUAAAAAAGCUUCUAGAGAUGUUGCAAAGUAAAGGUUUGCCUUCUAAAGGAAUGGAAGAUGACAAUGAAAGAACUCGAAGGAUGGCAGAGGCUGAAUCUCAGGUUAAUCACUUAGAAGUGAUUUUAGAUCAGAAGGAGAAGGAAAACAUGCAUCUUAGAGAGGAACUGCACAGAAGAACCCAACUUCAGCCUGAGCCAGCGAAGACGAAGGCUCUGCAGACAGUCAUCGAGAUGAAGGAUACAAAAAUAGCUUCACUUGAGCGCAAUAUAAGAGAUCUGGAAGAUGAAAUACAGAUGUUAAAGACAAAUGGAGUUCUGAAUACAGAGGACAGAGAAGAAGAAAUCAAACAAAUAGAAGUUUACAAGAGUCACUCAAAGUUCAUGAAAAAUAAGAUUGAUCAACUGAAACAAGAACUCUCAAAGAAAGAAUCAGAACUUCUUGCCUUACAAACUAAGCUUGAAACCCUUAGCAAUCAGAAUUCAGAUUGCAAGCAACACAUUGAAGUGCUUAAAGAGUCCCUUACUGCCAAAGAACAGAGAGCUGCCAUACUUCAGACAGAGGUUGAUGCCUUGCGGUUACGGUUAGAAGAAAAAGAAACCUUUCUGAAUAAAAAAACAAAACAACUUCAAGACCUCACAGAAGAGAAGGGAACCCUUGCUGGAGAAAUUCGAGAUAUGAAAGACAUGUUGGAAGUAAAAGAAAGAAAAAUUAAUGUCCUUCAGAAAAAGAUUGAAAAUCUACAGGAGCAACUUAGGGACAAAGACAAACAACUAACUAAUCUGAAAGACAGAGUGAAGUCACUGCAGACAGAUUCCAGUAAUACAGACACAGCACUGGCAACCUUAGAGGAAGCCCUAUCAGAAAAGGAAAGAAUAAUAGAGCGUCUGAAGGAGCAAAGGGAUCGAGAUGACAGGGAAAGACUUGAAGAAAUUGAAUCUUAUAAAAAAGAAAACAAGGACCUGAAGGAGAAGGUUAAUGCUUUACAAGCUGAACUGACAGAAAAAGAGUCUAGUUUAAUCGAUCUCAAAGAACAUGCAUCUUCAUUGGCAUCAGCAGGGCUGAAAAGAGACUCCAAACUUAAGUCUUUAGAAAUAGCCAUAGAACAAAAGAAAGAAGAGUGUAGUAAGUUGGAAGCACAGUUGAAAAAGCAAGCUGAGCAGUUGUUCAAUCAGAUGUACAAUCCAAUGCCAAUUAGGAAUAAUGGGAAGCAAGGGGCUCAUGAAGCUGAAGAGGAGGCACGGAUGAAUCCAGAAUUUGCAGACAGAAUGAAACAGCUUGACAAGGAGGCCUCGUACUAUAGAGAAGAAUGUGGCAAAGCUCAGGCUGAGGUUGACAGACUUCUAGAAAUACUCAAGGAAGUAGAGAAUGAGAAGAAUGACAAAGAUAAGAAAAUUGCUGAGUUAGAAAGCUUGACUUCCAGACAUAUGAAGGACCAAAACAAGAAGGUUGCCAAUCUGAAGCACAAUCAGCAAUUGGAGAAAAAGAAGAAUGCACAGUUGUUGGAAGAAGUUCGUAGGCGAGAGGACAAUAUGACUGACAACUCUCAACAUUUACAAGUAGAAGAGCUGAUGAAUGCACUGGAGAAAACCAGACAAGAAUUAGAUUCUACCAAAGCCCGUCUUGCCUCAACACAGCAGUCUUUGGCUGAAAAAGAAGCACAUCUGGCUAACCUGAGAAUAGAGCGAAGGAAACAGCUUGAAGAAAUUCUAGAAAUGAAACAGGAAGCUUUGCUUGCUGCAAUUAGUGAAAAAGAUGCAAAUAUUGCCUUGCUUGAGCUGUCUGCUUCAAAGAAAAAGAAGACUCAAGAUGAAGUAAUGGCUCUAAAACGAGAGAAGGACAGAUUAGUACAUCAGUUAAAACAGCAGACACAAAACAGAAUGAAGCUGAUGGCAGAUAACUAUGACGAUGACCAUCACCACUACCACCAUCACCACCACCACCACCAUCGGUCUCCUGGGAGGACACAACACAACCACAGACCCUCUCCAGACCAGGAUGAUGAGGAGGGUAUAUGGGCAUAGCCGUUCCUAUAAACCAAAGUUCCAGUUUUGUUUUGAGGGAUGAUCCAGUCACUGUUGGAGGCACAUAGCCACGGCACAAUCUCAUGCUGUACAUUGAUCACCUGUCCAACCUUUGCCUAGAGUGUGAUCCCCAGUUCCUUCAAGAGAUCCAUCUUUACCUGUCUAUAAAGAAGAAGAGGAGGAGGGAGACAUCUGGGAUAUUCAAGUAUCAAAGUUUAACACCAGAGCAGUUUUCAAUUGUAACUGUUAUGAUCAGCUGCUGCCUUGUUCUUUCUUCUGAUCCUUUCACCAUCCUGCUGAGUUGUCAGAGGAACUAGAGAAAAAGGAAGAAAAAACUGUGGCACUGGAAGGUAACAAUGAUAAUCUAUUGCAUUGGAUCUCCAAACAUGACCAUGAUAUCCUGGAGAAGAUCACAGAUGCAGAAAAUGAAUGCUGCGGUUGAUAUCUAAUGAAAUGCUGCAUUAAUUAGCAUUUUCUCCAUUAUUUCUUGUAGUCUAUUGUGAAAUUAGAUACUUUGGAAAGUAAUGAAGGAGACUCAAGCAGAAAUUAUAACAGCUUCAUUUCUGUCUUUAAUGGGUCUUGUGAGUUAAUCUGUUUUUACAAAGAAACCAUCUGUUCAGAAUAUAGUUGUUUCAUGAAGUUCAGUUAAACAGGUUAUUUAGCAAAUUUUUGGUAAAUUAAUAUUGAUUUCAAUAGAUAAUUCAGAUUCCCUAAAUGUGGCAUCUGCAUUUGCUGAUUUUACCUAGUCUAUUCUAAAGUAUCACUUCUAUUGCACUAGAUUAUCAAAGAGGUAUUAGUAAAAUGCUAUAUAAGGGUGUUGGCAUUAACUUUACCCCCAGUUAGAUACAGGCUUUUCCAAAAAAUAAAAACAAGCCUUUACCCUCCUCUGUUUUCUUUUCUCUACUGAUAAAAUAAUAUAAAUUAAAAACAAAUCAAAACCAAAUAUUGAUACUAUAACCGGUAUUAAGCUCUGGGCCAGGUUGGAAAUGAAAUCAAUUUUUGGUACUAAUAACUGAUGACAAAGCUUAGUUUUAUGAAAAUAUGGUGUGUGUCUCUGACAAUGCAUAGGACAUCUAAUUUGAACAUAAAUUUAUGAUUAUAUACAAGAUGUAUCUAUUCCUGGAUGGUAAAAGCUUGAGGUGUAUAUAAAUAAAUGUGUGUGUGUAUAUAUGGACAUGUACACAAGGAUGUAUCAACCUCUUACCAUCCAAAUGCAUACAUGUUUUCAACAAUAAAAGCUGGGACUCUUAAAGAAACAAACAAAAACAAAAAUAAAGAUAAGAUUGCUGUGAAUACAGUAUAUGCACUAGGUCUCCUGUAAAUGUGGAACUGUUUGUUAUUGUUCUCUGCAUUGAAAAACAGUCUCCAACACAGACCCCAAUGAAUCUUAAAUGUUAAAGAAAAUACCAAUGAACAAACAGCACUUGAAGGCUGUUUGUGUCAACAAAAUGUGUCUAGUUAAAUAAAUUCAAAGCACAUGCAAGGAAAAAUAAAAAUGUGAAGUCGUUCCAUUCAGUGAGAAAAUCUUAACUGGCAGUCAGAUCUCUCUCUUCUCAAGGAGAGGUUCCUUCUGACUCCACAAACAUUUUCAGUCAGUCUGGCAAACAUGUGCAAAUGUUUGGCUGUUUUGUUGAGGCAUCUUUUUGUCCAUGGAAGAAAUGCUUCCAUGCUGAUGGCAGUGGAAAUAGAAUAUCUGCAUUUUUAAAGGACAAACAAUAAAUUUAAGCAUGGGUGGCCUUAAUCCUUAGUAGUUUUUCUUUGCUGCUGUUAAAAAAAAAAAAAUAAAAAAAAAAGAAAAAAAAGAAAUCUAAAUGGAUACUCCUGAAGUCUUGCACUGAAUUUAGAAAAAUUAUUUUUUGAACCUGUGGUGCGAUUAACCCUAAACAUCCUACAUGAGCCAUACAUAGUAAUCCCCUUAAAAUUAUUGUCUAGAAAUGAUAUUUUAUUUAUUUGUACCAUGAUUCUCGGUGCAAUCAAGGAGCAAUUUAUUUGAGCAGGAGUCCUGCUGGAUGUGACUGUCUUCAGUAAGUAGAAUAAAAUGUAUAGAAUUAGCAUAGCAUAGAUAAUCCCAAUUUCAUUCAUGUUUAAACAGUUUGUCCUUUAACUAUCAACGGCAUUUUAGAUCUUUGUUUUUGAAACAGCAAAGCUUUUGGGAGUAUAUUUAGCACAUAUGACAAAUGUUGCACUUGGAAACUCAGACAACAAAACAGGUUUCUGAUGACAGAUUUGUUGUCGCAGUAGGGGACAAUCGUCUGUGUCUCUUACAAUCAGGUCUUUACCUUAACUCUGCAACCGAAUACUUGAAGUAGGAUAUAAACUAGGGGGGAAAUAGGGUCACAGAUACAAAGCUGUAUAGUUAGAUAUUUAUAUGUAUGUGCCAAUUUUGUCACAGAUAUUAUUUUAGGGGCAUUUUUGCUCCACUCAUGUUGGUAUGAGUAUUGAUCUAAACUUUUAUCAGGGCCUGAAAAUUAGCCCCUAAAGAGGAAAAUUUUGUCUAACAUUGAUUUUUUUUCUUAUUGCUUUGUUUUUGUUUUGUUUUUUUUCCUCCUUCUUUUCAUUUCAUGUGAUAUUCUAUAAUGUUUGGAGAAAAUCUUUUCAUAUCCUAAAAUAGAAUCUCGGGGUUUACAAUAAACACUGUGAUGUUGGGAAAUAUUUUAUUUGAGCAAUGUUUGGUAGAUUUUUUCCCCCCCCCCCUCCUCUGAGUGUAAUGAAGCAAAAUAACUUUUGCUUAACAUUUAAGAUAAUGGUUAUUAUUUUAAUGUGAGAUCAGUCUUGUACUGCACAUUCUUUCUUUCAUUUAAAUGUACAGUAUGAAUUUUGUAUUUAAUGAAUUUUGUGUAUCCAGUAUGCACGUACCUGCACAUUGACUUUCAUUUGAAAGUGGGUUUCAAUUUCCUUUUUAAACAGUGUUUAUGAAAAGACCUCAGAUGUGUUGACACAAACUAUAUCCGCAAUGUUUCUUUUGUGUGUGUAGGGUGACGUUUGAAUGUGAUGUUCUGCAGCAAUGGGUCAGUAUCCCCUAUUUACCUUAGAUCCUCAUUUGAUAGUGCUUCUUGUAAUAAUUUUUUCAAGUGAGUGGCAUGUUCUGGAUUGUGAUAUUGAUAUAUGGUUAAGGACAUUGAUAUGAAACUAAGGAAUUCCUAGAAAUUACCAGUGGGCAUGUAUUAGACAGUCAUUGUAAUUUAAUGUCUUGUAGAAGUGUAAAGUACCAAGGUAUUUAGAGUUCAUAACAUUGUUAUCAUGUGUAUGGGAAGUAUUUAGUGUUGAUCAGCUUGUUUAUUUUCAUCAAAUAAACUUUGUUUCUUUCUGAAA